CUGGUCAACAGUAUGUAUAUAGUACAUGAAUGCAGUUUAGUAGGUUGACUGUUUGUUAACAUUGGGUAAGAUAAGCUUUGAUUUAGUUGACUUAAUACUGGGGCUGUAGUUCUUAUGGAUUUGGGUUUUUACAGUUUUUGUCCUUGCUUGUUUCUUAGUAUUUACAUUCAUUUAACAUACACCACUCCAUUACUGAUGAUAUAAAUUCUUAGCCAAAGAAAACAAAUCAGCUAAAAAGAAAUGGCUCAUUGUAGCCCAGCUAGAAAAAAAGAGCAGUGGAAAGUAGUUUUUUUUUCAUAUAUAAUGUAAACAAUUUAGUCAUUUCUUUUUUCUUUUAUGUUUAAAGGAAGAUGUGGACCAAUAAGAUUAUCUGUUGUCAUUUAACUUGGCCAAUCAGCAAUGAGCUCCCAGUGACCCUUGCUGUUGACCUUGAUCACAUGAUUUCCUGUGUUGCCAUUUCAUUCCUGUUCAUAUAAUGCCAUGUGCCAGAGAAACUAAUGUUCCCGAAGUCGAAUCGCUAGGAGUUAAAAGCAAGUCUGCUGCAGUUGUUUUUGGUUGUUCAGAGUUUCACCCUGUCAACGGAUGACUCGACAGACGGACCCAGUCUGAAGCAAGCCCCAUCGAGGAGCAGCGAUUCCACAGUUCCAGUUAACUGGAUGGCGAGCCAACCCGAAAUUGAAAAGGAUUUGCCAAGGUUUUAUUGAAGCCAAAGUUUCGUUCCCAUUGAAGCUUCAGAUACCUGCAGGACUACGAACUUUCUUCCUUCAUCGGAGUGUGGUAGGACAAACAUUAAACAAACUGAACGGGCCCCAACGAUCCAUCAGUUACCAGACAUUGUCCAUUCAUACAAUUGACUCAGAGAAAGCUGUAUGCGCGCACUUUUAUUUAGUUUGUUAUUUUGGGGGAAAUAUUUUGUAUUUUAUUUUAUUGUUUUUUUCAUUACAUUGUUGCAGCUGCUGUGUGUCAAAUAUAACAAAUUUGUGAACAGUCUAUUGUGGUGUGGUCUCUCCUUAUUGGUGUUUAUACCUUGGGCUCCUGCCGAUCCUAGAUCUUCUGCUACUGGCUAGUGGAGUUCGGUCAUUCUUAAUGAUAAGUCGUAAGUCCGGUUACAUCAUUCUUUGGUUUACAUGUAUAAACAUAUGUACACUUAGUGAGACCAUUUUUUACAGGGAUACAGGCAUGCAGAAGAGGCCCCACAUCUAAGAUGUUUUAAAGACUUGAUUUUUUUUUCUUUUUCUUUUUUUUUUUUUUUAAAUGACAUCAGAAACAGCAGUAUGCGACAUUACGUGAUGGCAGAGCUUCAGUUCAUCCUUUGUCUUUUUUUUUUUUUUUUUUUUUUUUUUUUUUUUUCAAAAUUAUCUAUCAGAACUAUAUUGGGCCAAGGUCUAAAGUAACAUGAACCAUUUUCUCUGACACACACAUACACAUACAUUCAGUUCUUGCAAUUGACCAUUUUCAGAAAAAAAUAUGUUUCUUUGUUAAGCCGCUUAAAACUAACUCAAGAAAAAAAAGGCACCUACCACAAGGGAUACACCACUCUUGUAUCUACAUAUAAAAGACAGCCUAGUACAAAAAAACAAACAAACAAAUAUAUAAAUCCAUAAAUUCACAAAUAAUUAAAUGGUAUCUUUAGGCUCUUUUCUACUAGCGAUUGAAUGUAAAAAAAAUGCCAAAGGUAACUGUGCUAAACCAGCUUUGAAUGUCUUUCAAGAAGCUCAGAGACUACUUAAAGAAAUUACAAGAGCAUUUGCUUGAGAGAGUUCAGGCUAUAUUGAAAAAUAAAAGUAGUCAUACGAAAAAUUGACGUUCAACCCUGUUAGAAUUGUACAGACUCUUUUUUUGCCUCGCCUUUUUGCCUGUAUUUCAAUAUAUCUUUCGAUAAAUCACUGCAUUUAGCAACAUAUGAUUCCUAGCGAUGUCUUUUGCACAGUGUAUAUAUGUGUGUUUGUGUGUGUAUAUAUGUUAUAACUCACUUUGUUAAUGUAACAGUUAACUGUUGGGUUAUAGGUCCCUCCUCCAAACAUCAGGGUUGCAACCCCAGGAGAAAACUAGAUUCUAUAUCCAUGCAAAUGGAUAGAAUGAAAAUCAAAUUGGGACAGAUGACAUCUAGUAAAACCACUGCGGCAUGGCAGUAUUUUAUUCUACAAAGUGACCUUGCCACUGC
ensembl:lncRNA